UAAAGAUAUGGGACUCCACACAAAGUGUA
rnacentral:piRNA from 1 species